ACGAGUGGCGGACGGGUGAGUAAUGUCUGGGAAACUGCCCGAUGGAGGGGGAUAACUACUGGAAACGGUAGCUAAUACCGCAUAACGUCGCAAGACCAAAGGGGGGACCUUCGGGCCUCUUGCCAUCGGAUGUGCCCAGAUGGGAUUAGCUAGUAGGUGGGGUAACGGCUCACCUAGGCGACGAUCCCUAGCUGGUCUGAGAGGAUGACCAGCCACACUGGAACUGAGACACGGUCCAG
rnacentral:rRNA from 1 species